AUUGAACGCUGGCGGCAGGCCUAACACAUGCAAGUCGAACGGUAACAGGAAGAAGCUUGCUUCUUUGCUGACGAGUGGCGGACGGGUGAGUAAUGUCUGGGAAACUUCCUGAUGGAGGGGGAUAACUACUGGAAACGGUAGCUAAUACCGCAUAACGUCGCAAGACCAAAAAGGGGGACCUUCGGGCCUCUUGCCAUCGGAUGUGCCCAGAUGGGAUUAGCUAGUAGGUGGGGUAACGGCUCACCUAGGCGACGAUCCCUAGCUGGUCUGAGAGGAUGACCAGCCACACUGGAACUGAGACACGGUCCAGACUCCUACGGGAGGCAGCAGUGGGGAAUAUUGCACAAUGGGCGCAAGCCUGAUGCAGCCAUGCCGCGUGUAUGAAGAAGGCCUUCGGGUUGUAAAGUACUUUCAGCGGGGAGGAAGGGAGUAAAGUUAAUACCUUCGCUCAUUGACGUUACCCGCAGAAGAAGCACCGGCUAACUCCGUG
rnacentral:rRNA from 1 species